rnacentral:lncRNA from 1 species
GUAAGAUUUCUCCGGCGCCCCCAACCAUUGAAGAUAGCUUAAGGUCAGCCGGAUUGUGGGACUUUACUAAUUUAAACAAAUAUAACGUUGAUAAUCGUUUAAUAGUCGCGUUAUGUGAAAGAUGGAGGCCGGAGACCCACACAUUUCUUUUUCCAUCGGGCGAGUGUACAAUAACGUUGGAAGACGUUCAUAUGCUCCUUGGUUUAAAGGUUAACGGUGAACCGAUAACCGGUAAAACAGAAGUUGGGUGGGAGAUUGUUGAACCU